rnacentral:rRNA from 1 species
GAUGAACGCUAGCUACAGGCUUAACACAUGCAAGUCGCGGGGCAGCAUGUAUCUGGCUUGCCAGAUACGAUGGCGACCGGCGCACGGGUGAGUAACGCGUAUCCAACCUGCCCAUAACCACGGCACAGCCCGUCGAAAGGCGGAUUAAUGCCGUAUGAGGUUCCAGAGUAGCAUUAUUAUGGAACGAAAGGAUUGGCGGUUAUGGAUGGGGAUGCGUCCGAUUAGCUAGUUGGCGGGGUAACGGCCCACCAAGGCGACGAUCGGUAGGGGUUCUGAGAGGAAGGUCCCCCACACUGGAACUGAGACACGGUCCAGACUCCUACGGGAGGCAGCAGUGAGGAAUAUUGGUCAAUGGGGCGAGAGCCUGAACCAGCCAAGUAGCGUGCAGGAAGACGGCCCUAUGGGUUGUAAACUGCUUUAUAGGGAAUAAAGUGAGCCACGUGUGGUUUUUU